GAUGAAGAACGCAGCGAAAUGCGAUACGUAAUGUGAAUUGCAGAAUUCAGUGAAUCAUCGAAUCUUUGAACGCAUAUUGCGCUCUUUGGUAUUCCGAAGAGCAUGCUUGUUUGAGUAUCAGUAAACACCUCAAAGACUUCAAUUUGUUUUGAAUGGCUUUGGACUUGAGCAAUCCCAACACCAGUCUUUACGAUCGGUGGAGGGUUGCUUGAAAUGCAGGUGCAGCUGGACAUUCUCCUGAGCUAAAAGCAUAUUUAUUUAGUCCCGUCAAACGGAUUAUUACUUUUGCUGCAGCUAACAUAAAGGGAGUUUGACCGUAUUGGCUGACUGAUGCAGGAUUUCACAAGGGUCGGCAACGAUUCUUGUAAAACUCGAUCUCAAAUCAAGUAAGACUACCCGCUGAACUUAAGCAUAUCAAUAAGCGGGGA
rnacentral:misc_RNA from 1 species